CACAGAGUGAAACUGCAUACUUCUCAUGGACAUAAAUACAUUUUGAAAUCUGGGCAUGACUGGAGGUGGAAUUUUUUUUAGCAAGAUCUCCUGAGUGCGUUCUGACAUUUCAAAAUCCAGUGAGGGAUACAGGCCAAGAUCUAAGUGAAAUCCAAUCAAGAAUGUGGUAUAAACACCCUCGUUCAGAGAAGCUUUUACCUAAAGUUAGGGGAUUGAAGUCCAUGCACUGGACCCUUGAAUCUGCAGAAAGCCUCAGCGAAGUCCGCAAAUAAAUCUCAAGCCUGAGGAUCUGAGCAGGGGAGAACCCUGCAGCUGGGGGCUCUUGCUGAGACUCCCACUUGACUUCAUGCGUCACACUCAAGCUGUGAAAUCAGAGCAAACAUUGAUAGACUUUUCCCCAUGUUUGCAAAUGAGUAUUUCUAAGGCACUUCCUGAAGAGCAGCAGAUGCCUGGAAGGACAAGAAAUGAGCCAAGGUGAAGGGCAAAAUGAAUGCAGAAACCAGGAGAACCAUUUAUCACAAGAUGCUCCAGCUGCGUCCCACAGCUUCACAAUGCUCUGCAGCAGGUGGUAGCUUACCCCUGCCAGGGGAGCCACAUUUUGAAAAUGCAGCUGUGGUGUCAUCAGACAGCAGUACCCAUGGUUCUAUCCCCAGUGGGAUUUCUUCUCUCAGAACACAAUGGAAGAAAUGGGGACCUGCCCUGUUGCAUGAAGAUUAAAGAAGAGAUUACAAAGACUGCACCUUAUCCAGUGUGGAGGGCUGGCUUCCAUUUUUUCAUCACCAGGACCUUGGUAGACUCAUUGUCCUCAUCUCUGCUACCACGUCAGAUUUUGUCCCCAUGCCUCUGGCUGAAGCUGCAGCCAUUCAAGCAACAUCAAGUUGGCUGAGACUAGAGAGAGCCUGGCCUGUGCCAGCAGCCUGCCUGCCUGGAAGCAGCUUGUGCUUUCCUCAGGGAAAAAGCCACUUACUUUUCCACUUGUAUCACUAGAUCUGUGCUCAGUCCUUGUAGCAAAGUUUUAUAACCUUGGAACUUGGCCUCGCUGUUCCAACUUCUGGAAGCCUACACUGCCACACAUUGUCUCCUACCACCACAGUACUUUUAAAUACCAUUCCUCUUUCAGAUGUUCAUAGUUUGAUAGCUGUUCCCUCUACGGUACUCAUUUUGAGUAGACAAGAGGCUGCAGCUCAUCCAAUAUGAGGAUAAGGGAGUUAAGACAACCUUUAUUUUUCCUUUGUG
rnacentral:lncRNA from 1 species